rnacentral:rRNA from 1 species
GGUGCACGGGUGAGUAACACGUAUCCAACCUGCCGUCUACUCUUGGACAGCCUUCUGAAAGGAAGAUUAAUACAAGAUGGCAUCAUGAGUCCGCAUGUUCACAUGAUUAGAGGUAUUCCGGUAGACGAUGGGGAUGCGUUCCAUUAGAUAGUAGGCGGGGUAACGGCCCACCUAGUCUUCGAUGGAUAGGGGUUCUGAGAGGAAGGUCCCCCACAUUGGAACUGAGACACGGUCCAAACUCCUACGGGAGGCAGCAUG